CCGUACGUGGUCGUCCCAAAUCGUCGCCGGCGGCCGAAGCGUGAAGGGCUGCGCCCGCAGCGAUGUUCCCCAGGAGCAGCGAAAGCCACGGGGUAAGCCAUGCCUUCUCCCUCCCCCUCUUGAUUUGAGCCCCCCCGCGGCUAGUAAGGAAUCCCCCGCAAAAGAUCGGCGAACAUCGCACCCAGAUCUAUGAGCGGUGUCAUUGGUACUCACAAAUUAAUACAAACACUGAAUGUUUACUUGAGUCCAAUUAAGUUCCUUCCGAUUUUCUACUUUUUGGAUCGUACUGCAUUAACUGAAUUUCACUAACAGAUCACGACCUCAUAAUUCAGGUUUGCCUGGGAUGUUCAUCCAGCCGGGGGAUAGAACCACUGAGUCGGCUUUGCUGAAUUGAGUACCAUUCACUCACUCAGUUGGAGAAGGUCAUAUGGUAAUUACAAAGUUGCAGCUGUUGCUUCCAGUUCUAUACCCAUUGCAUAUGAGUGCAUACUGUUGAUUGUCCCUAUCGUAAUCGGUUUAACCAAAAAUAUCUAGGUAGAACUAUCUGAUCAUAUAGCACUCCUACUCCAAAGAACACACAGAAAGCAAUCACAAAGACAACCUUGUUAACG
rnacentral:lncRNA from 1 species